rnacentral:lncRNA from 1 species
GUCUCAGUGGUUAAUUGCUCCUGUGUUCAAAUUGCAGUAAAAAAAAAAAUAGAAAAACCAACAUAGUAGAACAUUUGCACUAUUCUGUUCUGAGGACUCGAAACUUUAUGUCUGUCCUUGGAAUCCCCUGAGGUGGCUACACAUGUCACAUUGCUGUUAAUCCUCUAUCCAGAAUAACUAGCCUAUGUUAGAACAUUCUGGAACUAUUGCCAAGAGCAUAGUUAUUUUUUCCUUUUCAAGACUUUACAAUCAGAGUAGUAAAUAGAACUACAUUUAAAACAGACUUGGUGCUAUUUUAAAACAGAGUUGGUGUUUCAAGGUUUUAAUUAAAGGACACAUGUCCAGCCCAUUCCUGAAAGACAAACUCCAAGAUGUUAUCUCUAUUACAAGUUCAAGGUGACAUUUUUCUGGAAUCAAAUGCCCAAGACUGAAAUUUAUGCUGGAAGAUUUGUUGAAUGAUCUGCUAGAACAAUAUUUCUUGGAGAGUGUGUGCAAUGCUUUUUUAGGUUUCGUACAUGAGUAAGAAUAUGCAGUGUUUGUCUAAAAGGGAAAUUCUCUACACCAUUAGGGGAAAAAGUUCUUCUUUUCCCAAACGUGGUGAUCAGGAAAAAUAAAAUUUUAUUCUUUCCCUUGUUCAGUAUAUUCAGGUUUGCUACCAUAACAAGCCCAGAAAUGACACUAGGAAGAUCUUCCACAAGGCACACAUGAUCACAGCACAGAUGUUAUUCCCUGACAUCUUUAUACAUAAAAUUACAUACAUCUGUUCUUAUAACAACUGUUUCAUGUAGGUAACAUAUAUACUGAUGAAGCUUUAAAGAAUAACAUAAACAUCUGUGUUUAAAUAUGAUGGUUUAUG